rnacentral:lncRNA from 1 species
UAAACAAAACUAAAACCUAACAAACACAUAAACAAACGGUGCUAAUUAUCUAAUUAGGGACUAGGCAAUCAAGCAAUGGGAAAAAAAUUAGCUUGUUAACCCGACUUUUUAUUCUAGGAUUGAAAUCAUAACUCAAAUCUAUACAUAGCUUCAAAAUCACAAUACAGAAACUAAAAUAUACUUUUUCAAUGUUAAAUCGAUGUGUGUGUGUGAAGAAUUAAGUAUAGCAUCGCGAAUUCAUAAAUAGUUUCAAUUCUCAACCCUCAACCCUCAAGGUUCAAAUAUGUUCUUUUAUCACUCGUAAGAUUCAUAUAUCCCCAAACUUAUUAUUUUCGCUAUUUUCAAGUGUGUGACCUUAAGUUGAAUUUAUAUUAUCCCUACCUCUCUAGUUUAGGUAAAUCUCAGUAAUUCCAAAUCAAACACGUUGAUACACAUGAAUUCUCUACAUAGUUUGAUUGUUUCAAUCUCUAAAACUCAACUAGAUUAAUAAUCUCUUAUCAAAAGUCAAAUUUUCUUAAACAAGUGCUUGAAACUUAAACCAAGGCAUUUGGUGCAUCUUCUGUUUCAUCCACAUGUUUUUUCUAUUUUUUUUCUCAAUUUUUUAUUUCACUACUUUUUUCUUUAUUUACAGCAUUCUCUCCUCUAAAUUUUUAAAUUACACCUUUAGUGAGCUUCAAGCCGAUGAGUCACAAGUCAGUUGACUUUAGGAUAACAAGUUUUAACACCCUUGCAGGCUAAAAAAAUUUUAGUCAUAAAGUAUACGAAGAGAAAAUUUCAAAUAAAAUAUCUUUUUAUGCUUUGAUCAGUUCAAUAUUCCCAUUCCAAAUAAACCGACUUCUAUAUUGUGACUUUCGUCUAAUUUCAUCCUAUUAACUUUAGACAAUCCACAUAAGAUUUUUAAUUUCACAUAUAGAAUUCCAAUUUAUCUCAACAUCUUCCUAUAACAAUGAAAUCUCCCAAACUACUUCAUAUUUGGUCUAAGGACGUAAAAAUAUAGUGAUUUUAGGUUUAACAUCCAUAGUCCACUAUUUCAACCUAUCUAAUUAUGAAAACAACACAUUCUCACAUAGUGCUUAACUUAAUUCACAUGUUCAAUAUAUAUAUAUAUAUACACACACACACACACAAAAAAAAAUAAAAUAAUAAUAAUUAUUAAACAAAUCAAAAAUAAAUUGUUCUUCAUUACACAAUUUCAAUAAUUUAUUUUUAAUUUGUUUAAUAAAUUUUUUGCUUAGAUUUCUUAACUGUUUCAUAGUCUCAAGUCUUAGCAUUCAGAUGUAUAGCAACUGGAUUCUUAUCAGUAAUAAUGUGAAAAUGAAAAUUCAGCCAGGAAUCUUUGAAGUCAUCUUGUUCUUUUGAAAGUGUGUUCUUUUGUUUUACAAAAACCAUUUUUAUUGAAGUAUAUUAAUAGCUACAAUGACAAGGAAAAGACCUCGAAAAUUAAAAAUCAUUAGCUUAAAGCAAUUUAUUGUUAUUUUACCUUCUUGAAAACAAAGGAAUAAUAUACGCUACUAGAAAAGGAGGCUUUAGAGACGGAUUUUUACCAACGAACUCAAUUUGUUGCUAUUAGUAACGAAUUACCAACGACUUCCCAACGAUAUAUUUUUAAAAAAUUUAUAAUUAUAAUGUAAAUGUUUUAGCAACUGAAUUACCGACGACAUAUAGUUGUCACUGAGAUUUUGUUGUUGAUCCAUUGCUAAAAUUUUUAAUAAAAUAAAAAUAUAAAAUUUUACCAACAAAAAUUGUAACAUCCUAAAGUUGUUAGUAAAAUACAAAAAGUAAAAAAUAAAAAAAAAUAAAAAAAUUAAAUCUACCUACGAAUUUAUCCAUCGAGAAUCCGUUGGUAAUAUUAUUGAAAUUAAUUAUAUUUAAAUCUAAAAUAUUACCUACAAUUUGUUAUGUUACUAAAUUUAUUGGAAUUAAAAAUAAAUCAAAUAUAAAUCAAAGAAGACAAACCAAAACAAAAUACACAAUUUCUCUCCUCUCCCCCAAUUCAUCGUGUCUCUCCCAUUCUUCUCUCAUUCCCUGCCAUAGAGAUUUCAAUCUUUAAAAUCUUAAUUGGAUCUUUAACAUUAGCGAUUGAAGCCCGCUUUUUGCCUCCUUCUCAGUAGACAUCAUCCGUUAAAGAUAAGAAAUAGUUAUCUGAGUACGUGUAUGAACAAACCUUCAAGGUAAUCUGAUUUUACCAUUUAUGAGAUUAGUUCACUGCAAAUGGGUCUAAUUUUAAUCGCAUACAACCCAUUCCUCUCUUGAAUUCUUAAUUUCAACUUAAGGAUUUAAUGAUAAGAGUUUCUUGAUUGAAAAGUGUAAAUUAAUUUUUUCUGAAUAGUUGUUAAAUCUGUAGCAUUUAGUUAAUAAUGCAGUUAAUAUUGAUCAUUUCUUUUUAAUGGGAAUGGUUAACUGAAGAAGGUACUGCGAUAUCUACCUCUAACAUCUAAGCUUGAACGACUAUAUAUGUCGAGGUAUAUUAUAGAGUACAUAUUAUGGCUCUCGAAUAAUCAAUUAACUUAUAUUUAAAUAUCAACCCCAUACAUAGUGAGGCAUGGAAUUACUUUGAUAGAACUUUUCCUUAAUUUUCCCUUAAACCAUGUAUUGUACGCCUUCGUUUAUGUGCAGAUGGGUUCAACACCUUUAGCAUGUCAAAUGUGCAAUACUCAUGUUGGCUAGUAAUAAUUAAUGUGUAAAUCGUCCGCUAUUUGUGUAAACAACAAUAUAACUUAUUUUUUUAGUAUGGUUAUCCCAUGACCGAAGAGCCCAGGGAAAAAUCUUGAUAUUUAUUAGCAUCUUUUCAUUAAUGAACUAAAAAUGCUUUAGGGUGAAGGUAUUGAAACAUUGACAUACAAAUGAAGUAGAAUUUUUAGUUGAAAGCUGCAUUGACUUGGACUAUUAGGUAUAUUAUGUGGAUGAAGUAUGCACGACCUGAAGUCUUGUCCAUACUGUAUGGGUCAAACUAAAUCUUUUAGGCUUAAAAAUGGAGAAAAAAAAUCUUUUUAUGGUUGUCACUGUCAAUCCCUACCACUUGACCAUGCAUUUGAAAAUUAAGAGACAAAUUUUAUAAAAGGUAGAGUUGAGAAGGAUAUGGCACAACAUAGGCUAACCAGUGAAGACUUGCAAAGUAUAGCGGAAAACCUCCCACACAUUGCAAGUGGCAGAGAUGAUAAGAGAAAAGAAAUCGAAGGUUUUGGUCAUAGCCAUAAUUGGGUAAAGAGGAGCAUUUUCCAGGAGUUGCCUUGCUGGAAUACAAAUCUCAUAAUGCAUAAUUUAGAUGUGAUGUACAUUGAAAAUAAUGUAUUCGAAAAUGUAUUGAAUACAAUUAUGGUUAUGAAAGGAAAAAAAUAAAGAUAACUUCAAGGCUAGAAAGGAUUUCGAGCUUUAUUGCAACCAUCGGAAGCUUCAUACAUAUGAAGAUGAACAAGGAAAACUAUUCAUGCCAAAGGCCUCCUAUAACUUAACUACUGUACAAAAAUGAGAAGUAUGCAAUUGGAUUAGGAAUCUAAGAAUGCCUGAUGGUUGUGAAUCAAACAUUUCAUGUUGUGUUAAGGGUGAUUGUGAGUUCCAUAGAAGGAAGAGCUAUGAUUGUCAUAUUUUUAUGCAAAGAUUGCUACCGAUUGCAUUUAAAGAUCUUUUGUCGAAACCAAUUUGGGAAGCUUUAAUUGAACUUAGCCACUUCUUUAGGGAUAUAUGUUCUACCGUGUUGAGGGUGAAAGAUAUGGAGCAAUUGGAACAAAAUAUUGUUGUGAUAUUAUGCAAGCUUGAAAAGAUAUUUCCACCGGGAUUUUUUGAUUCAAUAGAACAUUUAUCUAUUCAUCUAGCAUAUAAAGCAAAGGUUGGAGGUCGUGUUCAGUAUUGUUGGAUGCAUCCUUUUGAAAGGUAUAAUAUUCUUCAAAAUUUAAAUUACCUUUUGAAAUGAGAAUGGUAUUGACUAUUAAUUUCAUGUAUCACAGGUUCCUACACCACUUAAAAAAGAAGGUGAAAAAUCGGGCUCAUGUUGAGGCAUCUAUUGUAGAGGCAUACCUAGUAGAAGAAACUUCUACUUUUUGCUCUUUAUAUUUUGAUCAACAUGUUGAAACAAGGUUGAACCGUGUGUUGAUAAAUGAUGAUGGAGGUUUUGUCAAUCCUAAAGGACGACUAUCGAUUUUUACUCACUCUGGAUGAUCCUUUGGCAUUCAACAUCAUAAUGUCAGAUUAAUGACAAUUGAGGAAUUCAGAGUAGCUUCAAUAUAUGUGCUCUUGAAUUGCGAGGAAGUAACCCCUUUUGUGGCGUAAGUUGUUAUAAUUACAUUUGAAAUUUAUAUGUUGAAUUGUAUAUUUAGUUAGCUGCAUUAUGGUUUUUCACUUUCAUGUAGGGAGUUUGAUAAACAUAUGAGAAUAUUGUAUCCCCAAAUUUCUAAUGCACAAUUUGAUGGUUUACGCGAGGAACAUUUUUCAAGUUGGUUGAGGGAAUAUUUAAGUGAUUAUGCAAAUAUUGUCUCCACUGGCUACAAAGUGAUUGAUAAAAGGAGUUCUAAUGCACAUUAUUGCUUUUGUUCAGGUUUUGGACGAUCAUAAGGCAGUUGAUAAUUGCAUUAAGGCUUUGGCUAUGGGUCCUUCUCGUACAAUGGUACAUUAUAACGGAUACUUUGUCAAUUGUUUUAAGUUUCACACUUUAGACUAUGGUUCCAACAAAGCAACAAUGAACAGUGGUGUGUGUGUAGUGGGAAGUUGUCAUACUGAUUAUGAGCGCGACUACUAUGGGAGGUUAAUUGAAAUAUUGGAACUGGAAUAUUUAGGGGAUUUUGGAAGCAAGGUUAUUUUAUUCAAGUGUGAUUGGUUUGACACCAAUGGUGGGGUUAGAGUCCAUCGAAGAUUCAAUCUUGUCGAGCUUAAUCACAAGAAGAAACUAUAGACAAAUGAUGUGUUUAUACCUGCUCAACAAGCUCACAAGUAUAUUAUACAUGUUUUCCUACAAAAGCUAGAGAUAGAGCUGAUUGGUGGGCGGUUGUGAAAAUAAAAGCAAGAAAUGUUCCCAAUAGACAAGGAAUCAUAUUGGAGAAUGAAGAGUAUAAUGUGUGGGUGGAACUUGCAUUCCAAGAGGAUCAACCAUCAUCUACCCAGCAACCUGUUCAAAUAACAUCAGAGUUCGAUUACCAAAAUUUAGCUUGUGACGAUGGUGGGGCUGAAGAAGUUGUCUGGGCUGACUCUAGGAUGUCCAAUGUAGAAGUAGAAGAAAGUCCUGAUGUAGAAGAAAAUGUAGAACCAGAUUACAUUGAUAGUGGUGAUGGUUUCACGACAAGUGCAAGUGAAGGAGAAAAUUGUAUUCUUAUUAUUCUUUUCAUUUUUAGUUCAUUUGUUAGUUAACUAUUUAUGUCGUUGUUCAUAUUUUUCAUGGACUUAAUGCAGGAUGUCAUCUGACCAGUAUAUGGGAACGAGAAUGGUGGCCAGACUGGACAAGGGUGCUAUAUAAGGAGCUAUGAUGUUUCAAGUAACUAAAUUUGAGUAAUUGGGUGAUUUUAAGAAAUGAUGAUUCAGGAAUCCAAAUAUGGCGAUUUGCACUGCAGCCAAACCCAUGUCAAAUACUAGCAGAAAUCUCCUAACUAAACCUGUUAGUAUUCACUCUCUAUGUGUUUAAAUUGGACACCUUGUAUCUGUUGGAUGAUAAUGAAUUUUUGUGCUGAGAGCUGCAUUGAAUUCAUGCUGGACACAAUUUGUUUUGUUGGCAUCCCUUGUAUCUUGGUGGACAAUCUUGUAUUCUAUUUGAGACCUCUACUAUGUUGGACGUUUUAAUGUCAUUUCUUUACUUGGUUUGUUAAUAAUUUGAUGUUAUGGCUUCCAAAGUCUAGCAAAGUUUACUAUUACCAUGGCACUUAAACACAUUCUGUUGUGUAGAGUAAGCAGAGGUAGUGAAUUGUGAUCAGAAGUUAUAUUGGUUGGAGCUGGACUUGCCGUGAUUAAACAUGUUUUCUAUGGAUUAUGGUUCGCUGCCACUGAUUUGAUGUAGGAAGUUUUACUGGAACUGUUAAAUUCACCAACUUAGCUUGUAUGAUAUAAUUUAGCAGAGCUCGGUUUAUAGCCAUGUUUUGCUGCUCAUCCUUGGGUGUCUUUUUCUGAUGUUGAACUCUCAGUUGAGUCAUCUCUCAUUACCAAACAUGCACUUGUAGUACUUCACACUGCUGGAAAUUCACCAAUUGACUCUCUUUUGCAGAUAGUCCUUUAUCCAUAUGUCCAAACAUUGUUCUCCACCUAACAAAGUGAGCAUUAUCAUUCUCUUGGUCAGAUGAGAAUCCUCUUAAUAGUAGGUAAGGUAAUUCUGUAUUAAUUACAUCCCAAACUCUCUUAUUACUACACCGCAAUGCUGCAAUUGGAUAAAAUACUAAAUAAGGAAUCUAUUACCAGUAAUUGAAUUUAACUUUUUAAAGUACCAAUUUACCUUGAGGACGCCCUUUAAUAUCUUGAUUAAGAAGUUCCAACCAUUGGGAAGCUACAUAAGCAGUCGAAAACAAAACAGCACUCAUAUUAGGUUGCUACCUUGCUUCUGGUUCAUACCGUUCACACCUUUCUCCCAUGUACAUUUUUUUUUCUUUUCAUUUACCUAAACUGAAGCAACUUUUUGGUUCAUACCCUGCUCAUAAUAACAUCUCUACAUGACUUUUUUCUUCAAAGAUUGUUUAGUGUCCAAGUGUUUUUAGCUGCCAUUACUUUUAGUAUGGUAAAAAGAGUUGUCAACAGCCACAAAAGAAAUUUGUGACUCGAAAUACCCCUUCUCCAGUGGAAUGUAUGCAUGUUGCAGAAGAUAGAGGUAUAACAGUACUCAUAGUUAAAGGCAUUCUCGUUCCAAAUAUUAGUUUUAUGAAUCUUGUAUUAAUUUAUUUUGCUUAUGUAAGCACACUGUAAAUGCAAUUAGACCACUCAUGUUCAUUUUAGCUUCUACACAAAUCGAUCUUUUCGCAUCCACUGAGCUUCAUGCCAAAUCCCACUUUAUGUUUAUGAUAAUUGGAAAACAAUUUUUCCUUUUAUGUUCAUGCAAUGGCUAUUUUUCAUCCAACUUUUCACCCAACAUACUUCUCGUAACUUUUGCCUCUUUGUUCAACACUUUAUUUACCAAUAUUGUCUAAGGGAAAUGUCAUCCUCUUGUUCAACUCUCAAAAAGUUGCACUGCUGCAUAUCAUACACAACUGAAAAUUAGAGAGAAAAUUGUUCAAAUAUUCUGGUGUUAAUGAAAUCGGAUUAUCACGUACCGUAUAUGUAAUUUAGAUAUCAGUUUUAAACAUACCGUAUAUGUAAUAUACCGUUUAUGCAGCUUACCGUAUUUGCAAGUAGUUUACCGUAUAUACAGCUUAACGUAUUUGCAGCCUACUUACCAUAUUUGUAACUUACCGUAUUUGCAGAAAGCUCAUCAUAUUUGCACAGAAUUUGCACAAAUUGUUUUUUACCCAUUUCAUAUACAGUGAUUGAUUUUGCACGUAUUUGCUAGAUAUCGUAUAUGCAACUAACAUACCGGAUAUGCACUUACAUACACCAAAAUGUAGAAAUACCGUAUUUGCAUAUAUUGGUUAAAUAAAUACCGGUUGGACAACUACCAAACCGAAUGUUAUCUCAUUAAUUAAUUUUCUUUAGAUUUUUUUUACAUACGGAUAAUAAACUGUAAAAUUAUAUGAAGCACAUACAAUAAAAUAAAUUGGAAAAUCUACGAAGUAUAAGAUUAAACUACAAAGAAAUUGCAAAUAUGUAAAUCGUUAAGUAAAUAAAUCUACAAAAAUAGAUCGCAAAUAUGUGAAUUGCUGACAAUAAAUAAAUCUUCAACCCGGGGCAUGUGCUAGCACAGUUUGCUUAAACAGACUCGCUCUCUCACCAUAAAUGCUUGAGAUUAUAUCCGAGCGUAUAUUUUCCAGGAUACAAUGGUAAAAUUUAUAGAAUCUGAGUACCACAUAUACUACUUUGGUGAACUGACUAGUAUCUAAACAAUAUCACUACAAUGACGACGCUGAACAGAAAUCGAGAUGCAAACAGGAAAAAAAUAUGCAGAAUAUUUUUCUCUUAUUUUUCGUGUGUGUUCCGGAAUUGCUGGAGAAUGAGGACUUAUGUAGAUAAAAAAAAUAGUAAAAUUUCAAUAAUCAUAUCAAAAUAAACUUCGUAAUAAAAGAAGUAACUUGUCAAAAGUCUGGCUCAAAUCGAUUUAAUAAUUAUCAAGAAAACGACAAACGAAAUAUUAUUAGAAAUGGAGAAAAUAACAAAAAUGGGAAUUUGGAAGGGAAAACAGUGGAUUUUGGCCUUGAAAAUGAUGCCCACUAGCUUCGCUAUGGCCAUGACGUCCGCACCCAAAAGAGCUUUCCGAAUUAGGGUCAUAAUUGCGAUUCUGAUAACCGGAGCGAAAGUUAGGCCGAAUUUCUAAAACGUGUUUAAAACUACCACAAUUAGGAAAAGAUUGUACUCAAUUGCCAUCUUUUGCACCGAUCUGCCAACUCAUUAGCGCCAUAAACGUACUAUCUAAUAACUCAACAUCGCUUGAUUCGAACCCUUCUGCAUAAAUAUAGGAGUGAUAAUAGUUGAAGAACUCAGUAUCUUUUGAAAAUUAUAACAAAAUCGCACACAAGACUUGAGGGUAUCAAAAUUAGAGGAUCAAGCUAUUUGUAGACAUUACAUAUUAGAAAAAACAAAUAGUACGACCGCGUCAUGUAUUCGUAACAUGAUUAACCUGUCAUGCGAUCAAUCAGAAAUGCGUUACUAAAUAACAAUUUGUGCUAUUGAUUUUAAUACUUUCAUUAAUAAUAACUAUUCUCUACAAAAAUCAAUUUUUUUCCCAUAUUAAUCCAUUUGAAAUUGAUUUGUUAUCUAAUACCAACUAAUUGUAAAAGGUUUAAUAUUUUAGAUCUAAGAUUUAUUAAUUUUUGCAUGUUAUUAUCUUGAAUUUAUAUUUUUAUCUAUACGACAACAUUUUCCUUCAAAUUGACCAAAGCCAACAUCUCCCCCUCCCGCAAAAUUCCUUCCUAAAUCUCAACUUUUCCUUUCCAAUUCAACCACCAAUUUCCAAUCACUUCCCGCUCGUUUUUCCCCUCCCAAUUCUUCCAAAAAAAUUCUUUCCUUCCCACUCAUUCUUUCACCAAAUAUCACAUACAUUUCCUCAUAUACAGACCCCGCUUAUUCUGUAGAGCAACAACGUUUUGUCUCUGUUAAUUCUCAACUCAAAUUGAAAUUCACUUGAAUUUAAAGAUGUCGCGUUUAGUAAGAUGGACUUCCAUGCCUAGGGUUCCCAGGUUGCAAGAUGAGGAAGACAAUGGCUGGACCGAAACUGGUUCUGAGGAUACCGAUAUAUCUCUUUCAUCAGAGGACAAUGAUAGACCUGAUGGUAGGAAAAGGGGUCCUAACCACGGUACUAAUGGUUGUCCAGAUGAAACUGGAGAUGAUAGGUAUGUAUCCGAACCUUUAUUUAUUUUGUGUUGAAUGCAAAAUGAUUUCACUGGUUUUAAAACUUACUAAAGAGGAUGUAUACUUUGCACUACUUGUGUGGUUAAUGAUUUAUGCUUAACUAUGUUAACCACCGAAGUAAAUGGAUACCCUUUCAUGAUUUUUUCAGGUUAUUUUCAUACAUUUAGAAGAAAUCACCGUGUAAAAGUACAUAAUUCAGAUUUUAUCUCCUACAUUUUGACAAGUUGUAUAGAUUAUAAGGGUCUGGUGUUCUGUACAACCUUACAACCUUAUAGACGAAACUUGGGUGCUGAUAAGUUUUGAUUAGCUGCAAUAAAAAAAGUUAUGGGAGGCUGUGAUUUAUUAAGUUGUAGAAUUUUUGCAAUUGAUUAAGUUUAGGAGAGUUAGAAUUGGAAAGAAGACAAAGCACUUUGUGGGGGGAUAAAAUGUUGGUUUUGCUUUGACAUUGAAAUCAACUUGUGUGAAUUAUUCCCCCAAUUACUUUCUACUUCAAUUUAGUUUUUGAAGAUACAAAGACAAAAAAUGUCAUUCGUUUGCUUUAAAAAAAUUAGCAAGUUACAUUUUAAAGAAGGUGAAAUUGUUGUUUGCUUCAAUUUUCCGACUAUUUGCCUGAAUCCCUCACUUCUUUAAGUUUCAUGCUAUCUGGUUUAAGUUCCCUGCCUCUGUUUUCAUGCUUUCAGAUUCAUUACUAUCUCGACAUCGUGUGCUGUAAGUGCUAAUUUAAAAUCUUAAUUGGGUGGACCUUAUCCUACAUUUAGUUUGUUGCCAGUUGACAUAAAAAAAUUCUUGUGGGAAAGAUUUCAGGUAACAUAAAUUUCAUUUAAAUAUACUUGUUGUCCUCAUAAAUUUAUUGUUGCAUACUAAUGCUUGGUACGUACAUUAGAAAUAAUACUCAUGGCCAAAAAAUAAGGAGAACGAAGUGGAGAAAGCAUGGAACACCGCCUCAAUUGAUCGGCUGCGAGACAUAUUUUGUUUGGCUCGAACUAAGGCUAAGGAAAAUAGUGGAUCAGAAAAUGUAGCUAAUUGGAGGGGAUAUGGACAACCAUGGUUAAGUACAGAGCAUUGGAAUGAGAUAAUUGAUAAACAUUGGAACAAUGAAGGAUGGAAGAAGAAAUCUAAACUUGGCCGUGAUAACCAACUCACUGUAAAGCCAGGAACAAUUACUAAGCACAUUGUUGGUUCAAUAACAAUUGCUGCUCACAAGCUGAGGCUGAUAAUGUUUAAUUUUAUGAAUCAAUUUCAUAGAUGAUGGACAUGUUGUGGUUAUCUUAUUCUAUUAGAAGAGCUUUUGUUUUGUCCAUUUAUACUAGAAUUCCAUUUGUUAGAUUUGUGCAUAUGUGCAAACUAAUAAUGUAAAGAAAGGCAUAUAAAGGGUUGCAAUAAAAUAUUAUUUUCCUUUCUUUAUCUUUUUAGAAAUUUGUUACUUUAAAUCUCAAUAUACUCAAGUAAUUUACCAUUUGGUUAGCUAUGUAACGUCUAUAUAUUCACCAUUAAUCAUAUAUACCACAUAGCAUGGAAAGAGAGAGAUCGUGUUAUUUUGAAAUUAGAAAAAGAGAAGAUUCAGUUUUCUUGUAUUGGGGUAGUUGGGAGACACCAGCUGAAAAGUCACUAAUGCUCUGAAAUAGUGCCUGUAGUUUUCAUUGUGAGACAAGUUAUGUAUACAGAGUUAGUGGGAAGAAAAAACAAAAUUAAGAGCAGUGCCUCCUAAUUCUACAAAGUGGAACUUCUUGGUGUUACAGAUUCUACUGUUGAGGAAGGAAAGGGUAGAAAGGUCUUCGAACUGGUUAAAUCAGUUUCAGCUAAGCAUCUUGAUCUUUUGAGACCAUAUUUUUCACUGUUUAAAGGUAGUCAUUUUCAUUUGUGAUACAAUACAUUAUUUAAAGUAGUUUCCUGAGCAUUUUCCUAGAUGGAGUGUUAAUGCACCUUCAUGUAGUCAAAGUUGACUUCCAAAUCACCAUAACCAAUGACCAAAGUCCACGUGACGCAUGAGCAGUGAAAUUGUAUGAUGUAUUGAUCUCCAUAUUUUCAGAUUCUAACCCGCAGUAUAUUAAAUAUGGACAAGAGUCACAGUUACUCGAUAGCUUUGAAUUGUAUACCAUUUUUCCUUCAAUUACCAAUUACCAAAACCUCUGAAUUUUUUACAAUAAGGAUAUAAGCUUAUCUCUUUUACUUGUUUAAUUAAACUCUCUUUCUCCUGUUCAUUCUCAAGUUGGUUCUUCUGAUUGAUUGCUUUUGUCCUUUUUGACUUUUCACCUUAAGUUAUUGCUUGCUACAUUUUGAGAAAUGUUCUCACAAUGCUCCGGUUCGAUGUCUAAUUUUAUGUAAAAAUCUUCUUUCACAUGUGUAUUUAGUAUUUACAGAUGAUGUCGUGAUUGACUCCUAUUUGAUGCACAACUUUUGACAUAUGAUCUUGUGAUAAUAAUAUGACAGAGAGUGAAUGUUGUAGACCAUGAAAAGGGAAAGUAUACUCCCGUUAGGGGCUGAAUAUGACAAAAAUCAGCAUGUUCUGUCUAGUUGAAACUGAAAACCAAACCCAAUGUCAUAUUGUGUUUACUUACAGUUAAUUAUGAAGUUACCAUUCGGGAAAUUUAAAAGGUCUAUAUGUUGAAAAAAUUUACAUCAACUGGGGAAAAUGGAAAAAAAACAAACAACCAAAAAUGUGAUCAAGAAGUUGAAGAACAUAACGAAUAUGAAGGUUUGAACGCGUAAUCACUGUCAGUAAACUAUAUUUGUCCCCUCUUCGGAUUAAAUGAGAUGUUUAAGGGUUUUGGCAAAUGGUUUGUAGAAUUAUAUCAAGCCUUGUAAAGGAUUUAACACUAAAGCACAAAUGCAAUCUUCCAAAACUUAAGAACACAAAUGAAGAUCUUGAAUAUGAAUGUAAAUUAAUAGUUUGAUUCAAUAUGGAAUGAUAUGUGAAUCUCAAGAUGUUUUCAAUGUUUCUAAUGUAUUUGUAUUGAUCAUUCAUCAUCUAUUUAUAGGCCUCAAUCAAUACAUCACGAAAUGGUGCCAAAAGAAGAUGAAAAGUGACAACUUAAAUUCAAAACGGCCCCCAAGUUUCAAAUUGAAAAAUCAGUCAACGACUAUUUUUUAACACAAUGCGUAUACAUAGUAUAAAUCUUGCGUACGCAUAGUAGAAACAAAUUUGAUUCUGUUUUAACCAAAACAUAUCUCGUGUAUAUACAAGAUUAAGCUUGUGCAUACGCAUAGGCAAAAAAUCAAAUUUUGCAUUUUUUAAUUUCUUUUGAUUCUAAUAAUUCCACAAUUGAGCUCACCAAUUAGCCCAUCAUCAUUCCAUUGAUUUUGAACAAAUGUUCAACAAUUCCCCACUUGUUCAAAAUUAAUACGAUCACAUAUUCAAAACAAUGACACUUGUACAUAAGGAUUAGAUAUCUUUCGAUUUGAAUCUAAUCAUAGUGUAAUUCAAACAAAAUAAAGUAAAGUCGAAAUUAGAGGUAACAUGGAAGUUUUGAACCAAUUAUUCCUUGUGACAAUACCGGUAAGAACACAUACAUAAGUAUCACGUGUUCUCCAAUUUCUCAACUCACUUAGCACUUUUAUGGCCUUACGCUCAUCCUAUUCAACGAACUUUUAAGAGAGAAAUUCCAACUCUUUAUUGAGGCGGCACUACUUCAAAGUUCAUUUAGAUGAAGUUCUUCCAAUAUCUUUGUUACUUUUAGAAAUACUUGUGUUUUAGCACUGAAUUUCAUUAAGAGUUUUAAACUCAACCCUCACUUUAGUAACAACCAGUAUUUAAUUAGGAUAGGGUUAUUAUGGAUUUUAAUAAUGCUGCAACUAUCCACUUAUCGAAUGGCUUGUUGUUACCCUUUGAACCCGUUGAUUACCUUUAAAGUAAUGACAGGUAGGGUUGCCAUCAUUAGUGGACCUUUUAGUUUAGGAGUUUCAACCCCACCCUAUUCGAACUAGACACCACUAAUUUCCUUUUAGUGGACUAGUUAAAAGACCCGCUAAAUUCUCUACGAAAUUAUUUCACCUUUGAUAAUUUCCUUGUGAAGUCACAUCUAAGACAUAUAUAGCUAGACUUUCCAUGUGACUUUAGUAUUUUAUCAAAAAUAGCUAGCCAACGAUAGAUUCAUUUGAUAGAUAUAUUUUGUUACCACCAAUGAAUAUUUUAUGAAUCCACAUGCUUCUUACUAGCUUUAUUUAAAGCUUUAAUUUCCAUCAAAUUAUUCUACUAGUCAAUUACUUUUAUUGUGGAUUUCAUACUUGGAUAUUCAUAAUUCAUUAUUGAAAUGUUACACUGAUCUUCAACUUAUGAAUAUUCUUAAAUAUUCACAUUAGUUUUGCAAACUUCGUGACUGGCUUUCACCCAAUUCAUCCACUUAGACUUAGUGUAUUUCAUCCUUAUAAAUAUAUGUAUAAGGACUUCUCUUAUCUUUUCUCCUUUUAUAAAUAUCUUUUUAUGAUUAAAAGAUAAAGGGCAUGGUAACUUUUUAAAACUAAGUUACCCCCACAGUUCCUCAAUUAAGAACAUAUAUUCAAUCUAAUAUUGUUUCAUCCACAAAUCUUUGAACUUCUCAUAUAAGUUCACAAGCGUUAGUGUUAACCCCUCACAUUUCCAGUUACACUUGAAGUUAGAGUUCAUCAACUCGUUCAAAGUUCAAUUCACUUAUCACUUGGAUCACACAAUUUGAUCAAAGUCAUCUCAUGGACCAUUAAUGCUUUUCAAGCAUAAACCAACUCAAUUUGGUUCGAUGAUUGAAGUCCAAUUCAAUCAAUGAAGAAGACCAAGUACUACUUCUUUCAAACAUGUACAACUUAUCACUUUUCACAAGAUAUCAUCAUAUCAAAUAAUAAGGCAUACAUUCACCUUAUUUAACUUCGGACAAGAUUACAUUUUGUCAUACUCAUAUGCAAACAUAAUUUAGUAUAAGUUCAUCUCAUUUAAUUUCAUAUAAUUAAUUGAGGCUAUUACCAAAAGUUAGUAUAAAUUCUAACCGGAUAUGAAAAUUUAACCAACUAAUUCACCACAUUCAAACUUUUUCAAAUUUGAAUGAAAAGGAUAUUUGUUACCACCACUAGCUUUAAGCACAGUUUGUGCUCUACAAAGUAUUUCCAUGUCUCAAUAAUUUCACAAGCAAUUUUCACUAGAACAAGUCACAAUCUAUCAUACUUUAUGCAAAUAUAAUUGGCAUAAAGUCAUUUCACUUAAUUCCAUAGGAUUAAAUGAGGCUAUCAACAUUAACCCAAAUUAAUAUGAGUUUAAGAAGACAUGAAAUCAAACAAUUAGUUGGCAUUCUCACAAUUUUAAUAUUACAUGCAUAUGAAUGAACCAUACCAUUCUCAUAUUGCACUUAUAGCAUCCACCAAUCUAUAUUUCUUCGCAAAUUCAUCUAAUCGAAUACAAGAAAAGAGCCACGAAAGUAACCACAUGUAAUUUUUCAUUUUCUAUAGAGGAAAUGGUUAUGAGAGUUCACACAGUUUCUUUCAUAUUCACAUAAUUUCUUUCAAUAAAGUCUUACACAUUAGAAUUUGUCCAUAUGUAACAUAUGCAAUAUCAUGAAUUUUAUUGCAAUAGUAUAGUAUGCACAUCAAGAUUUCAACCAUUUAACCAUAUGAGUGCCAAAAUUAUAUAUCUCAAGUGAAAGAACAUAAAUUUCCUUCAAAAUAGAGUUAACACUUGCAUACACCAAUUAGUGAAUAUCAAAUAAAUUCAUAUUCAAAUAUUCUUAUAUAUUUUUUUAGCAUGUUCCCAUAACCACUAUGACAAAAUGUUCCAUCAAAUGAUUGUGGAUUAACAAUUUAAGAAAAUCAAUUGUUUCUUUCAAAACACAAUUUCAUGGUAGUAGAUCCAUGUAAUUUAUUCAUACUUCAUCAAAAGACAUGUUCGUUAUCAUGGUUUUGAUUAACCAAUUUCAGUCUUAACUUGAAACUACAAAGGCAAUACCACACUGCUUAACAAUAUUCAGCAGGUCUUUCAUACUCAACAUGUAGUAAAUCAGCGAAGUAGAUCAUAGAUCACAUAAUCAAUUCUCAUGCCGUAAUAUUUAAUAAAUUGACCCUAGAAUAUCUCAUAAUAUUCUACAUGAUUUUUCACAAAUGAGAGGCUUAAUAAAUAAAGAUUUCAACUUGAACAUAAUCAUAUAAUUCUUUCAAAAUUUUAUGUUGAUACCAAACCAACACAUAAUAAUCUUUCAUUAGCCUCUAUUAUCACCAUAAAUUGCAUAUAAGAUCAAAAUUCAUAAAUAAAGCAUAUUCUAAGGAUCAUAAAUGCUUUAAUCCAUCAAACAGAUCAGACAAAGAAUUUAUAUAACUAUGCAAUUCAUAAUUGUGGACACAAUAUUCAUAUCCUUCAUCUAAUAGGAAAUUCUAGACGAUCGUGAAAAUUCAUAUUCAAAUUCAUCAAAUGUAUAUAAAACAUACCUUACAAAUGAAUAUGCAAUUUUAAUUUUCACGCAACAUCAUGAUUUCCACAUUUCCACUUUCACAAACACAUGCAACAAAUUAUGCACAACCGAAAUUGAAUUCACUGGGGACAUCAUCAUUGAUAAUGUGCAUAUAUUUUAACAAAACAUCUAAAUUGCAUGUGAGAAGAUCAUUAUAUUGACUUACCAAAGGGGAAUUUUAGAAGAUAAAUGAAUAUUAGCAUAAUUGAAUUCAUGAUGUCAGAUUCUAUCCGUUUAUUCUUCAAUGAAAUCAAUUUUUUUCAACCUUUCCAAAUUUCUUUUGCCAAAGAAAUGUUGAUUUCGAUAGCAUCACCAAAUCUAGAAUUAGAAUGUAGGAGAUCUUCAAUUUCAUCAACAGAAACUUCAAUUUGUACUAGCCUUCACAUGAAGUUCGUCCAUCGAAUAUCCAACCAGGAACUGGAUUUCAUCUACUUGAUCUCGCCAAAGUGAUAUUGUUUUCCGUCGCAAAAUAUAGUUUGAGAUUCUUGAAAAAAAUUACAUCAACUGGGGAAAAUGGAGAAGAAACAAACAACCAAAAAUGUGAUCAAGAAGAUGAAGAACAUAACGAAUAUGAAGGCUCGAACGCGUAAUCACUGUCCUCAAACUAUAUUUGCCCCCUCUCUGGAUUAAAUGAGAUGCUUAAUGGUUUUUGCAAACGGUUUGUAGGAUUAUAUCAAGCCUUGUAAAGGAUUUAAUACCAAAGCACAAGUGCAAUCCUCUAAAACUUUAAGAACACAAAGGAAGAUCUUGAAUAUGAAUGUAAAUCAAUAGUUUAAUUCAAUAUGGAAUGAUAUGUGGAUCUCAAGAUGUUUUCAAUGUUUUUAAUAUAUUUGUAUUGAUCAUUCAUCACCUAUUUAUAGGCCUCAAUCAAUACAUCACGAAAUGGUGCCAAAACAAGAUGAAAAGUGGCAACUUUUAAUUCAAAACGACCCCCAAGUUUCAAAUUGAAAAAUCAGCCAACGGCUAUUUUUUAACACUAUGCAUAGUAUAAACCUUGUGUACGCAUAGCAUAGUAUAAACCUAGCGUACGCAUAGUAGAAGCAAAUUUGAUUUUGUUUUAACCAAAACAUAUCUCGUGUACGCACAAGAUUAAGCCUGUGCGUACGCAUAGGCAAAAAAUCAAAUUUUGCAUUUUUCAAUUUCUUUUUAUUCUACUAAUUCCACAAUUGAGCUCACCAAUUAGCCCAACAUCAUUCCACUGAUUUUGAACAAAUGUUCAACACUAUAUAAACCAGCUUCCUUUAAUAAUGGAAUUUUAUUUCCUUUACGUGAGGUAUAAGUUCUUAAAGGAAGGUAUUUUAGAGAGAGUUUUUUUUUUGCUUAGAGUAUAUUAUAUUUUGCUGCAAAAACUAAUGCACAGCAUCUAAAAUAAGAGUAUUGCAUUUUUGCUUAGGUCUAAGUUAUGCUAAUUUUCUUCAGCAUUUAACUUGGAAUUUUCCAGAUUCCAUUGUUUGCUUUUUGAUGAACGCAUAUUUUGUGCUAUGCUAAAGUCGAGAACUUGCAAUUUUAGUGAAGAAUUGUUUACAUUAUGAAAGUGUAUGAUGUGUUAAACCAGUUAUUUACUAAUAUGCAUGAGAUGAUGUUUUAUUUUGGGAAGAGUAUGCCAAUUAAUAAUCUUCUUAAACUAAACAUUGAUUAUGUUGCUUGUCUUUAGUAUGAGAAAUUAGGCAAGCCACCUACUGCUGCCUAAUUGUUCGAACGUGUACAUCGACGAAAGAAGGGAGAAGGAGACUUUGUAGACAAUAAGUCACAAAUGGUCUAUGUAACUGAAAUACAUUAAUUUUUAUUAUAUGUUGUUCAUAGUUAUUGAUUGAUACUUGCAUUUGUUUUAUAGGAAAAAUAUGAAAAUGCAAUUCAUGAUAAAUAUGGUUCAAAUGUUUCAUCACAACCUGAAAUUGACAUUGAAGCAUGGUGUGAAGCAAGUCAAGGUCCUAGUAAGGGUGGUCGCUUGUAUGGGCUUGGUAUUCAUCAUCCUAGAUUGCACAAAGUUGGCAUCUCCAGUCCAGAUGAUGGAUAGGCUGAUAUCAUUAAUUUGCAAGAGGAACUUUGUGAUGCUUGCGAGAAGAUAGAUCAACUUACAAGAGAAAAUAGUGAAUUACUUCAAAAGAUGGAAGAUGGUAGGCGUGAAGAAGAGAAGAAGAGGAUUGAGUUCGAACAAACCAUACUUCGAAUGUUGGGAGAAAGGAAUGGGUCAUGAGAUUAGUCAUUCAAGCACAAUGAUCUUCAACAAUUGGAAAUAGUAAAUGUUUAUUUUGCUUAUAAAAAAGUUUCCAUUGAAAGUGUUUAUAGUUCAAAUGUAGAUAUUUUUGGAUUUGGUGUCAUAAGGGACAUAAUUUAGUUUCAACAAGUUAUUAUUGAUUUUUGAAAUGAUAGCAAAAUUAAUGUGAUUUUUGUGUAUACUACAUGGUGAAAUUAUGGAAAGAAAAUGUUUGCAAUUUCGUAUUUGUUUAUUAAUUGAUGUAUUUUUACUUUUUUUAUAGGUUUAACUCAGAAAAAUAUAUUUACAUUAAAUUAAAUAUUUAGCGGCAUUUUUUAAAUUGUAAUCCAAAAUUUUUACGGAUUUAUUCUAGUUGAAAAUGUGUGUAAGAAGUUGGAAAAAAAUGUAGGCACGAAAUAUACGUUCUUAUUUAGAAACAAAUAGUUCCGUAAAAAUUCUUUUGGCACAUAGCGAUGAAGAUUAGUAGGUAUUUAGGAACAAUUAAGUUUGUUGCUAAAAUUACUUAGAGAAGGCAAAGGUAAUACCAGCAGAAUAGCAACAUAGAAUUCCAUCAAUAAUUAUCAACAACAAUAUCAGCUAUUAAAGCACUAACAAUUUUUUUUGUGCUAAUUUACUGACGAUCAAAAGAAUUCGUCGGUAAAUUAGCCAAUAGGGUUUCACUAUCCGAAUUACCAAUGGAUUGAUUCCGUCAAUAAACAAUGUUAGCUAUGAAAAUUAAGCGAUUAUAGACGAAAAAUUCUGUCUUUGGAGCCACCUUUUUUUUUUUUUUUUUUUUUUUUUUUUUUGGAAAAGCAAGAAUGCAUUAGUCAUGUUAUUUUCUAAGCAUCUUUAAGCUUUUGCAUAUAUAUAUAUAGAAUUUUACAAGGUCCAUUUGGAACAUUUAAUCAUUCGGAUCGAAAGCUCUAUAAACUUUAUUUCCACUAAAUUUUGGGUCGGCCGAACAUAGUUGUGCUUGUACUAUUCUCAAGAUUCUUAUGCAUAUUUUCUUGAUCUCAUUUUCUACAUCAUGCAGGCAAAUGCAGCUACGCUGGGUGCGUGAGUGACCUGAACAUGAUGUGUCCCGUGGGACUUCAGGUGCGAUCACACGACAAAAAGAGAGUGGUGGCAUGCAAGAGUGCUUGUUUUGCAUUCAACUCGCCAAGGUAUUGUUGCACGGGAAGCUUUGGGACCCCCCAAUCGUGCAGGCCAACUGCCUAUUCGAGGAUUUUCAAGGCUGCUUGUCCGAGGGCUUAUUCGAAUGCAUAUGAUGAUCCCACCAGCAUCGCCAUUUGCACCGGUGGCAGCUAUUUGGUCAACUUCUGCCCUCACCAUUGGUAGUAUGGCUUUAAACUAUAUUAGGCUUCUCUGUUUACCCAAUCUUGUUCUUAUAUAGAAUUUUAUGCCUAUCUUUUGCCGUAUGAAUUGCUAGACAAUGAGUUUGUUUAGCGUUACUGCUUAUUAGUAGUAAUAAUUGAACUCCUCAUUUGGUUGUGCCAUUACUAUAAUUAGCAUAGUCUCUCUCUUUCGUGUAAAAUCUUGGAUUAUUUGAGCCUCGUGAUUCCCGAGCACACUAAAUUUCUUUAAUAAAAUGCUAAAAGACUCAUUUGUGUAUAAAAUUCCUUCUAAUUAAUUUGUGGGUUUUGUUUUAUUAUAUAUAAUACUCCAAGAAAAUUUGCAGCUGCAGUCCUUAAAUCAUGCUACUUGGUGCACUUAAGUCCCUAUUCUUGGGCAUUUAGGUGUCAAAACUAUCAAUUUUGGUGCAAGUUAGUCGAAAAUUAGAAACCGUCCAUAUUUCUGUCAAGUAUGAAUUGCACAUGAUAAAUUUGUGUAGAUAUAUUUUUGUCGAUCUAUUCGGCAUGAUUUUUGUUUUUUUAUUUGCUUUCUAUAUAAUAGUUUUUUGAGGAAGUUAUCUUAAAUUUUAUUUGGAAAUAUGAAGUGCUUUUAGACAAAAUCGUAUUGAACUAACUUCCUUUAAAAGGUUUUUCUAAUUAGUUGCAGCAUUUUUAUAAAAUUAGUCAAAGGAAUCCAUGAAUAAUUUUUGAAUUUUAAAAAUUCAUUUUGACUUUUUAAAAAUUAUGGGUCCUUUAUUUUUUAUCCAUUGCUCGCCAAAAUGAUUAACACUGGUAAAAGGCAUAAAAUAGUCAUUAGUCAUGAACCAAAGCAUGGGUCACCUCAAUUUUCAGUGUCAAAGUACCAUAGCCGGUUUACAUCCUUUGAUGCUUGGUCCCUUCCACUAAGCGGGAGGGCAAUUCAAUUUGGAAAAUGGCCUAUGUGUACAGGAAGUUUUGCACAGAUGUUCUAUAGGUUAGACAUAUGGGGGUGGACUCCAUGUGAAUAUUUUAUUGUAAUGGACCCCAUUGGUAUGAGUAUUCUAUAAAACAUCUAUAAAAAAAUUUAUGUAAGUGUAGCAUUACUCGUUCAAUUUUUGCUUCAAAAACCAAUCCAUCGAGCACCUUUUUCUAGUCAGUAGUUUAUUGGUCGGACCCAUCGGUGAAAUCUUAUACCAAUUUUUAAAACCAUGAUAUCUACCUUCCGUACACGUGUUCCUAAAGACCAAAAACAUAAGGUAUGAUCAGCGGCAGACCCAGGAAAAAAGACAAACUAGUACACAAAAGAAAAUAAAUAAAAAUUAAUUAAUUAAAUUUUUUUUCUUUUUUUGUGUGUGUGUGUAUUUUUUUUUAUUUUUUAAAUUAAAGUUUGGAUUGGAAGAAUAAGCUGUAGCACAACACGGCCCGUCCCUAGAUCCGUCCUUGGGUAUUAUUCAACUAUAAUGCAAAAACAUAUUAUUCAUACAUAAUUUGAUUCAUUGACCACAUUCAUGAGAUUUAUGGUGUGGCAUAUGUUGGUUUUAGAUUUCAAAAAAUAAACGAGUACAAUAAGAUUGAACAAAAUCGAUAAGCAAAAAUAAACAACUUAAGAACAAAAUAUUCAAUUUGAGGGGAAAACUUGAGUCCAAGAUAUUUUUAAAUGAGAUAAUUCGACUAUUAUGUAGGAUUCUUGGUUUGACCAUUUUAUGACACGUAUGCUGUUGCUUUAGGUAGGCUCGAAGAACUAAAAAUUGCUCGAGCGGAAUCACAUAUCACGUGUAUCCUUUAUAAAGUAGGGUAAAAUCGGUUCCUCCAAGUCCAGGCUAUGUGCAAUUAUGGUCGUUGGAGUUUACAUAUAAGUACUGACACUUAAUUUGCUCGAUUCAUCAUUUAGUUUUGAGCUAGACUUGCGCGUAUUGUACGAGGAUUUGUUAGCUCGCCUUGAACACGAUUUAGUAUAAUACUUCAAUCAAAUGACCUUUAAGCCCAUGUUUGAUCUUCAUUUUUCUUGGACACAUUUUCAAAAUAAAACAAUUUACGCGUAAAUCAAAACUUUUUCCUACUUUUUAAUUACACGUUCUUCAAAAAAAUCACUAUUAUAAAACCAGUUUUCAAUAAAAUGGGGUUCAAACAAAUUUUGAUAGCCUCGCUAGAGAAGGAUAGCAACUCCUCUAUCGUUAAAGAAUUUCAACUCACAAGCCCCCCAGGGCACUUCUCCACUGGCAAAGGACGGACGCUGUCAAACCUGGCAGAGCAGAGGUCGUGAGUUCGAAACAUGGGGCUCUUGGAAGGCAAGGAUUUAUUCUUGGAAGGCAAGUGGGAACUUGGAAGGCAAGGAUUAUUCUUGGAAGGCAAGGUGCAACUUGGAUUGGCUAGCUUGGCACUUUGUCAGACCAGGUGGGGAGCGCUCGGACCCUGGCCAGUCGGAGGCACAUCCUGCGAUUAACCGGACUGUGUGAAGAGGGGCCGGAUCACAGACCCAAGGAUUAGUCAAGAAUUGGACACCUUGUAAAAUNNNNNNNNNNNNNNNNNNNCCCCUUGAAAAAAAAAAAAAAAAAAAAAAAAAAAAGAAUUUCAACUCACAAAUACGAUAAUCCUCUUAAUAUUUAUCAUUGAGAAAUACUUCCUAACCUACGCGGUACAAAGGACAAAAAGAAGUGCUGGUUGUAUAGUUUUCACAUUCAAUGGGAUGGAUGAUUUUUUUUAUUUUUUAUUUUUUAAAUAAUCACCCAUCACCUGUCAGACCAGCAUUAAUGAAGGACAAAUGCCGAUCGUUUUCCACGAAAUUUCAGUUCACACUGUCGAUUUGAAUUUGUGGCUUAAAUUCAAGGCCCAGUUAUUAAUAUUAACUAAAUUACAAAAACAUCAAAAUCAGUUAUUGUCAGACACUACGAGCCCACACUGCUUGACCGCGGAUUCGACGCGGAUUAUAUUUAACCACACAUUUUUUAUUAAAAUAAUAUUAUACGCAAAUAAAUUUUUUUUUUAUUUUUUAACUACACAUUUUCCAUCAAUUUAUUAUUAAAAAAUACAUUUUUAUUUAAAAAUAUCUCUCAAACACCCUUUAGGUAUGUCACCUUACACGUGUCCAAGUAUUUUUAAUACACAUACUUCUCAUUUAAGAGCAUCUCCAAAAAAAAAUUUAAAGAUAAGAUGCUCUCUAUUUUAAAAAGUUAAUCUUUUAAAAUCAUGCUUCAAAUUUUUUUUAAAUUAACAUUUUAAUUUAGAGAGUGUGUUUGACUCCAAAUUUAAAAAAUCAAACUCAUUCUAUUUAAUUAAAUGCAUUAAAUAGAGAAAAAUAAUAAAUAUUUUUUGAGAGUGGUAAAAUUAAGUCAUAAAUAAAUAAUCAAACUCAUGACAGAAUAAGAUUUGUGUUAUUCUCAUAGUUAUCAGACUCGGACCGGAUCGGCCAGUUCGAUCCGGAACCCGUCGAGCCGGACCCAAAUCCGAUCCGAUUGUAAAGGAAUUUAUGGCGAAUAAACAACCCGUUUGAACCGCUGGUUUUACACAAAACCCGAUUACCAACUUUUCCUUGACCCGAUCGGGUCUUAAGCAGCCUGUGUUUCACUUUCCUUACAGAUUCCAGUUUCCCCACUCCCGUCUCCUCACAGCUUCUAAGAUUCUUGCAAAAUUAAAAAUCUCAGCCACCGUCUCCAGUCUCCUAACGGCUUCUUCUCACUCAUGGAACAAACAGUGCCACUAUGGUCACCUGAGAUCUGGAAUCUUUCAUCUGAACUUAACACCAGAAAGAGUCCCAGUGAAAGAUCUCAAGAUUUUCACAGCUAAUUCCUCAGCAAAGACAGGCUAUUAUUUUUCAAUGGCUUGUUAAGUAGGCUUUGAAGCUAGGCUGUAAAAUUCUUUACCUUUAACUAAAUCUUUAAUCAAUCGUUUCCUCUUUAUAAGUAGGGUUUCAUUCAAAAUGCUCAUUUUUUCUCGCUCAGUGUGUAAAUUUUUUAGAUCUGGUUUCGAGGGGAAGAAGGGUUUGCUAUGGUUUAGAUCUUGUUUUUAGAUCUCACUCAGCAUUUUUGUUUUUAUUAAGAGCAAAGGGGCAAGUGCCAAGUAGGAGAAGAUGGCUCAGUGACUCAUUUUGUCUGUUGUGUUAGGAGAUGUCUCACGCCUGUGUAUAGUGUAUAGGAGCCAUUUAGUUUUCUAAAGUAUGAUAAUUCCUUUGCACUUUCUGGUUUGGAUUAAAAAAUAUUAAUGGGAGAUUGGAGAAGAUGGCAGAAAAGGACUGAGAAAUUUGACACACCUUCAAUUUCGUAUAAUAAGUAAAGACAAACACUAACUUCGUUGAAUAAGAUUCAAAUGAUGGUUUUAUUUUUCAAAGCAUAUUUCACUGAUCUUGAAUUUGUGAAAUUUGAAAUACAAAUUGUUCUUUAAUUAACAAAAUAAUAUGAAGUUAAUUUAGUUAUUGGAAGAAAAUAGUAAAAUUUUAUUAUUCAAUGAAAAUAAUUAAUAAUUUAUGACAGGCAUUGACUCAUCGGGUCGACGGUUGAACCACUGACCCGUUGACCUGCUACAUUUUCCGGGUGGGGUCUGAUAACUAUGGUUAUUCUAUAUUUUGUAGAAGUGAUUUAUUGUUUGUUGCUUAAAAUAUGAUUAAUCAUGUAUUACAAAUAGGAACCUUCCUACUGUAUUUGAAUUUCUUAGAAUGUGUUGAUCUAAGUGUACGUACUCUUUUAUGUUGGAGUAUGAUAAUUCUCUAUUUUAAGAACUCUGGCAAUAAAACGAAAAAGGUUGAUCAGAAUAUUUCAAGUGGCGUAAUCAACAUGGUGGAAGAGAUGAGACCUAGGCAGAUGCACAAUUAUUCAAGUUUGAGGAAACAUGGAAAAAUUUCUAUUUGAGUAUCUUGGACAAUCCAAAGUUGAGGUGAAGAUCGUUAAAAAAAUUUGACUUGAUUUUGUCUAAACUAAAAUUAGGAAUUGAAUAUUUUUAUGUUUCAUGGUACUAAAAUAUAAUUUGUGGUGUUCUAUGUAUUAUAUGAGUAGUUGAUUGUUUCUCACUUGAAAUAUAAUUAUUUUUUGUCGUUAUUUUUCUUUAUCUUUAUAAUUUAGUUGACUUUGAAAUUAAUUUUUUGAAGAAAGAUUAUAUAGAGGGUGAAAAAACCAUAGAGUUCAUCUCAAUUUCUAACAAGUCUUACAUAUUAAUUGACUUGGAAUGUUGAAAAAAAAAAUAAAAAUAUAUGACAAUAAUGAAAAAUGAUAGACGAACAGGGCCUGGUGGUAGGGGUUGAGGUAACCGUGCCUCUUCAGCCCCUGAUCUGAAUGUAUCUGAAUUUCAAAAAUUUAGAUGUGGGGUUGAGACAUCGUUGCCUUAGCCCCUGUCAACAAGCUCUGUUUUUGUAGAAGAGCUCGACAAUAAUUAGUCAAUAAGAUUUUGAUGACAAUUAAAGUCAAGAAUAGUAAUGGUCAAUUUCUCGAAUCAUUUGACUUCGGAUUUUAAAAGUGCUUGCCAGAUUAAGAAAAGUAUGUUUAGCCUCUAUUAAAUCAUAUUUUAUUUUUCUCUCUCAUAUUUUUAAUCACACAAUUUUCCAUAACAUAAUAUUUUUUAUAUGAUGUGUAGGUUAAUUUCUACAAAUAUAUAUAGAUAAAAUAUAUGUUUGAUAAGCUUAAAUUAUGAUCUAAACUUGAGUAAUGAUAUUCAUAGUGAAAACUAUCGAUAAUCGUUCUACGUGAUAUACAUAUGACAUGUGAUAUUUGAUACAUGUCUGUCAUGUGUAUGUUACGUAAAAUGGCUAUCGGUACUUUUCACUAUAAAUGAUAUUAUUCUUUAAAGUUUGACAAAACAUGUUUACUCAACAAACCAUUCAAAUGCAAUAUUUCAAUUUUCUGGGCAAAUUAGAAAGACCUUCCUCGAAGGUUUUAACAAUUUCCAAAUACACUCUGUAUUUAAAAGUUACACACAACCUCUCUUACCACAAAUUUUGAAUAAUGCGUACCUCUCAUGACAUUGAUGACAUCUCAAAGACAUAGACUCCUUUAUAUAUAUUAUUACAAACGUCCAUUUUUUUUCAAGUUUUUAAUAUCACGGACCUUGAUGUUUAUGACGAUUUCGAAAAACCUUCUUCGUUUUUAAUUAUCUCAUCGAGACUGUCAAUCUUAAAAAAAUACUUCAACAUUUAAUCGUUUUAAAUAAUUAUAUUGAGGUACACAAGAUGAAGUGAAUCUAGUUGUGAUAUUAUCUUAAAUGAUACAAUAUAUAUAUAUAAUUAUUAAUAGUUUCGCAAAUUUAAUACAAGUUUUUUCAUAAUUAGGGACAAGAUGUGUUGAUUUAUAAAAUAUUUGAAUGAGCAAAGUUCGAAGACCUUCAAUGAACUAAAAAAGUGAUGCAAACAACAGAAAAUUUAGGUGGUAAAUAUAUAAUGAUUCAACUAUCCACUUUUUUGGAGUUGUUUAUAAAAAGUUUAUAAACGAUAUAAAUUAUUAAUCUAUAAUAUAUUAAAAUAUCAUAUCAAGGAAGAAUCAUUUUUUGGACGAUUUUAACCCCCUACAAUUCAAUUAUAUCAAUAACACCUUACUUUUUCAUUUUUCGAUAUGUAAUAAAUACUACAUAAUUAUUGCCAUUUAUGAAAUUUGUGUUAUUAAUUCUUAAUUAAUUAACAUUAACAUUAAUAUAGAUUCAAUGAAUUUUCACUUGAUGAACUUUAAAUUACAUGAAUCUAGAGUUAUUCUAGAUGAAUUUAUUCAUAUUCAUGUAUUUAUAAUAUUUUAACAGGUGUUUAAAUUAAUGUAUUGACAAUUAAUUUUUAUGUAUUAUUUAAUUCAUGCGGUACUCAUCAAAUCUUCAACAAAUUGGUACAAAAUAUUAUUUUUACAUCACUUAUAAAGUAUUUUAGAAUAACGUGCAACGCACAUUCAACUUUAACUAGUAAAUACAAAUGAAUCAUGAAUAAAUAAGCAAUAAAUGUGGAUCUCAGAAAAUUAUGAAUAAAAGUAAUUUAAUAAAUUAUAACCCAUAGCCAAACAUGAAUGUUCACUACACUCAGUGUCCACAGUGGGUCGUGGUGGUCAUGUGACCUACCAACUUAAAAUUGAGGGUAUUUUAUUUUUUAUUUUAUAUAAUUAAGAAAUCAAAUUUAAAGCAAAGAACUCGAGCCCGAAAAAUCCAAAAGCUUUGAAUGAAGUUUUGAUUUUUCAAAGACCAUGAAAGAUUUGUCCAUGAAAAGUUAUAUGCCUCAUUGUCCAGGAAAUUAUUUCUUUUGUAUUUUCUUAUGAAAUGGAUUUGGGGAUCCACUUAAGUCCUCCAAUUUCAAUCUUGUCUUGGCGAUUAUAGGAUAAUGGAUUCUUGCUAUGAUUUUUGUCUUUGUUUGGUUUGGGAUGCAAUUACUAAUGUAAUAUUCAGAAUUGUCGUGAUUUUUGUAUUUUUCAUUUGAAUCGAUUGUGAUGGAAAAAUAAUUUAAACGUAUAUAUACGUUUUCUUUUGAAGAUCAUAAUGUUAAUGAAAGGAAUAUUCGAGACAAAAGUGAUGAAAAUAAUGUUGAAGAUAAAAAUGAUGACAAACUUGGUGAUAUUUGAAAUAAAUGUAAAUCUGUACUUUUUGCAAGUUCGAUUAUAUCUCACUAACUCAAAAUGUAUGCGUUCAUCAAUAAUUACACUUUCUAAAUUGAUAAUCUUUUAAUAAUAGCAUUUUCGAAUAAAAUACUCCAAAAAUAAAAACUCUAGAUUCAAAAACCAACCCUAACAACUAAACACGUGAUCCGUGUUUACAAAGUACAAACUAAACUCUAUCCAUUAUGCCUUUAGGAAAUAGAAAUUUUCAAUGACACCGACCAAUCAAAUAUUUUAUUUCAUAUGCUAGUAUUUGUCGUUAGAGUAAUGCUAUUUAAUUUAUUGGGAUUACAAUCCCAAUUUUGCGACGUUGUUAUGAUAUUAAAUAAUAAGUAAAAUUAAAUAAUUCAUUUAAUUUUUAUUUUUAUUUAUCCAAUCAUCCUUCGCCACUUAAACUGAAAUUAUAACUCUAAUAAAGCUACGUAACAUUAUUCUUGUCGAUGUAUUUUCCGUACCUCGUGUUUUACUCACAUAUAGAAUAGGUGAUAGGGAUUAAAAAUUGGAAAAUAUGUGUCAACAUUUUAUUGGACAAUUAAAAAAAAAAAAAAAAACCACACACAUACUACCAACGCAGCAUCCGUCAAAAUACCUGUCCCCUUUCUCCGUUCAAGCAGCGAAACUCACCCGAACCCCUCAAUCUUUACUCUAUAUAUUCUCACGUUUUCCAAGGAACGAGAAAAGCUUAAACGAUUCGAAAAGCACAAGAAUAUCAAUGGCAGCAAACACGGACAGGAAUUCCAAGCCUUCAGUGUACCUCCAAGAACCGAAUGAGGUCCAAGGUGUAUUCAACCGCUUCGACGCCAACGGCGACGGCAAGAUAUCCGGGGAUGAGCUAGCCUGCGCGCUUAAGGCGCUGGGAUCCAACACUUCUAAAGAGGAGAUCGCCCGCAUGAUGGAGGAGAUCGACACCGACAAGGACGGUUUCAUCAAUGUCCAGGAGUUCGCCGCCUUCGUCAAGGCCGAGACAGACCCCUACCCCUCCUCCGGCGGCGAGAACGAGCUUAAGGAGGCGUUCGAGCUCUACGACCAGGAUCAUAAUGGAUUGAUCUCAUCCGUCGAGCUCCACAAGAUCCUAACGCGCCUCGGUGAGCGGUACGCCGAACAUGACUGCGUUGAGAUGAUUAAAUCUGUUGAUUCUGAUGGAGAUGGUUACGUUAGCUUUGAGGAAUUCAAGAAAAUGAUGACGAACAAAAGCGGCAAUAACAGCCAAGCGGAGCCACCGAAAUAGACAGCGGUGUGGCGCACUGGGAUUUUGUUGUGUGCUUCUUCCUGGUAUAUCGCCUUUUCCGAUUUUAG